CCUACGGGUGGCAGCAGUGAGGAAUAUUGGUCAAUGGGCGAGAGCCUGAACCAGCCAAGUCGCGUGAGGGAAGACGGUCCUAUGGAUUGUAAACCUCUUUUGCCGGGGAGCAAGACGCGGUACGCGUACCGCCUCGCGUGUACCCGGAGAACAAGCAUCGGCUAACUCCGUGCCAGCAGCCGCGGUGAGACGGAGGAUGCGAGCGUUAUCCGGAUUUAGUGGGUUUAAAGGGGGCGCAGUCGGCGAGUUAAGUCAGCGGUAAAAUUUCGGGGCUCAACCCCGACAAGCCGUUGAAACUGGCGGGCUAGAGUGGGCGAGAGGUAGGCGGAAUGCGUGGUGUAGCGGUGAAAUGCAUAGAUAUCACGCAGAACUCCGAUUGCGAAGGCAGCAUACCGGCGCCCAACUAACGCUCAGGCACGAAAGCGUGGGUAUCGAACAGGAUUAGAUACCCUAGUAGUC
rnacentral:rRNA from 1 species